rnacentral:rRNA from 1 species
GAUGAACGCUGGCGGCGUGCUUAAUACAUGCAAGUCGAGCGAACGGACGAGAAGCUUGCUUCGCUGAUGUGAGCGGCGGAGGGGUGAGUAACACGUGUAUAACCUACCUAUAAGAGUGGGAUAACUUCGGGAAACCGUAGCUAAUACCGGAUAAUAUUUUGAACCGCAUGGUUCAAAAGUGAAAGUCGGUCUUUCGGGAACUUAUAGAUGGAUCUGCGCUGCAUGAUGUAGUUGGUAAGGUAACGGCUUACCAAGGCAACGAUGCAUAACCGACCGGAUAGGGUGAUCGGCCACACUGGAACUGAGACACGGUCCAGACUCCUAAGGGAGGCCGCAGUAGGGAAUCUUCGGCAAUGGGCGAAAGCCUGACGGAGCGACGCCAAGUGAGUGAUGACGAUCUUCGGAUCGUAAAACUCUGUUAUUAGGGAAGAACAUAUGUGUAAGUAACUGAGCACAUCUUGACGGUAACUAAUCAGAAAGCCACGGCUAACUACGUG